rnacentral:rRNA from 1 species
UACGGAGGGUGCGAGCGUUGUCCGGAAUCACUGGGCGUAAAGGGCGCGUAGGCGGCCGAGCAAGGUCGCGGUGAAAGCCCGGGGCUCAACCCCGGGUCGGCCGUGGCAACUACUCGGCUUGAGCACUGUAGGGGCGGGUGGAAUUCCGGGUGUAGCGGUGGAAUGCGUAGAGAUCCGGAAGAACACCGGUGGCGAAGGCGGCUGGCUGGACCUGACCUGACGCUGAGGCGCGAAGGCGUGGGGAGCGAACGGG